rnacentral:rRNA from 1 species
GACGAACGCUGGCGGCGUGCUUAACACAUGCAAGUCGAACGCUGAAGCUUGGUGCUUGCACUGGGUGGAUGAGUGGCGAACGGGUGAGUAAUACGUGAGUAACCUGCCCUUGACCCUGGGAUAAGCCUGGGAAACUGGGUCUAAUACCGGAUAUGACAUGCCACUGCAUGGUGGUGUGUGGAAAGGGUUUUACUGGUUUUGGAUGGGGUCACGGCCUAUCAGCUUGUUGGUGGGGUAAUGGCCUACCAAGGCGACGACGGGUAGCCGGCCUGAGAGGGUGACCGGCCACACUGGGACUGGGGCACGGGCCAGACUGCUACGGGAGGCAGCAGUGGGAAUUAUUGCACAAUGGGCGGAAGCCUGAUGCAGCGUCGCCGCGUGGGGGAUGACGGCCUUCGGGUUGUAAACCUCUUUCAGCACGGAAGAAGCGAGAGUGACGGUACGUGCAGAAGAAGCGCCGGCUAACUACGUG